rfam:Pteropus alecto contig40872, whole genome shotgun sequence.
GUCUGUGGCCAUGCCACCCUGAACAAGCCUGAUGUCUGAUUUCAGAAGCUAAGCAGGGUCAGGCCUGGUUAGUGCUUGGAUGGAAGACCACCUAGGAAGACUAGGUACUGUAGGCA